UUUGGGGCUAGAAGUUGCGGACUAGUAGCUGAGGCGGCACGGGAGUGUAGGCGCGCGGGGUCGUUGCCGGGGGCACAGAGUGAGAACAAGCAAGGGAGCCCUGCUGAAUUGCAGCUUAGGAAGCCCUGAAUCCUGGAGCAGUGAAGGCAGUGAGGGGCUGUGGUGUGAUCCAGGAGGCUGAGAAUUAUGCAGUGGGUGCUGUCACCUUGAAGACAUCAGCGUGAUCAGGCAGAUCAUCAUGGUACUGCAUUUCCUGGACACGAUCUUAAUUUUCUUAAUACCUCCACCGACAUUUCAAAUAGCGUCUCUAAUGCCCCAGAGACUUUUAUGCCCCUAAGGUAGUUUUCUUUCUUUUGUGAAGCAGAAGAAGGGAAAUUGUUAAAGGGAAUAUUUUAACUAAAUUUAUUUCCAUAAAACUAUCUUUGUCUUUAUAUCUCAUGGAAAGUGUUAGGUAGCCUCAGGAUUAUAUCUCCGUUGGAAAACUGUAGAUGUAAACCUUCUUGCUAUCUACAUACUUACAUAUUUUUCUGUUGUUAUUUACUUAUGAAUAGCAUUUUGAUUAUAGCAGAAAUAAAAUACAUUAAAUGACUAAGCUCAGAAAUAAGAAAAAAAGGUCAAUGGUGAUCAUUUAUUUGGAAACUAUGAUAUUUUAAUGAUAUUAAUGGUGUAAUUGACAUUUAGUUAAACAUAUUUCAUCGUAAGUAGAGCACUUUAACUCUUACGGUCCACUUAAAAUGUAAUCAUACGUUUAUGUAUUUCUAGUUAAUGUAUCAAACUCAACUGAGUAAUCAAUGUACAUCAUUUAUUUUGCUCCUAAGUUAAUACACUAAGUUAUGCUUUAAAAUUACUAAUUUGCUGCAAUAUCCAAUACUCUCUUUUAAGUCUUACGUCUGCAGAAAAGGAUAUAAACAUUUCAUGACACCAAACCCAAGUAUUUUUGAUGCCCUUGGCAGUGUCAGUUGAACAGACAGUGUCAUUUAAUGUUUGAGACAGCAUCUGAAUUCCUUUUAUUCUUAAAAUUCUAUUUUAAAAUGCAGUUUUUGGAAAGUUAAUGUGAAUAGAAAAAUUUCUAACAUUUUAUGUGCAUGUGUUUUGUUUGUUACAGGCUUAGCAUCUCAAAUCUGAAAAUUCGAAAUCUGAAAUGUUUCUAAAAUUCAACUCUUUUGAGUGCUGAUAUGACUUUCAAAGGAAAAGCUCAUUGGAGCAUUUCAGAUUUUGGAUUUUUGGAUUUGGGAUGUUUAACCAGGGUAAAAUAUAGAAUGCAAAUAUUCCAAAAUCUGAAUAAAAUUGAAAUCUGAAAUGCUUAUGGUUCCAAGCAUUUUGGAUAAGGGAUAAUUAAGCUGUAUAACUUAUAAAACUGAAUAUAACAAAAUUUCCCAACAUGUGGAAAAUGAUGUCUUUUUUCAAAAAUGUCAAUAGCAGAUACAUGGUACAGUAAGUUAGGGGAAAAAAUGAGGUUUCAUAUCUUCUAGUUUCCUAAUUAAAAGGAGCCCAUUCUGGGUUGGAAGAAAGUGUCAGUAAGAUCAUUUCUCCUAUUUGAAAAUCAUACAAAGCUUGUCAGAGUGACUCAGGCCAGGAGUGUAGCUGGGCGUGUAGCUAAAUGAUAUCUCCCCACAUCUAUAUAAUAAGCUGUUACCUGCUUUAAAAGGAAAAGCUCUCAGCAUGACUCUAAUGUUGCAUUUCUGGAAUACAGCUUGAAAAGCUCUUCUCAGGGUUGAACAGAGCAUGAAGGUAAUGGUUAUUAUCUACUCACAUUAAAAAAAAAAAAAAAGAAAGAAACCACCACAGAAAACUACUUACUGUCUUUAGGCUCUACUUUCAAAAGUGCCCUUUAUGAACGCUUUUACACUGUUGAUGGGAGUGUAAAUUAGUUCAACCAUUGUGGAAGACAGUGUGGUGAUUCCUCAAGGAUCUAGAAUCAGAAAUACCAUUUGACCCAGCAAUCCCAUUACUGGGUAUAUACCCAAAGGAUUAUAAAUCAUUCUAUUAUAAAGACACAUGCACACGUAUGUUUAUUGCAGCACUGUUCACAAUAGCAAAGACUUGGAACCAACCCAAAUGCCCAUCAAUGAUAGACUGGAUAAAGAAAUUGUGGCACAUACACACCAUGGAAUACUAUGCAGCCAUAAUAAAAGAUGAGUUCAUGUCCUUUGCAAGGACAUGGACAAAGCUGGAAACCAUCAUUCUCAGCAAACAAGAACAGAAAAUCAAACACUGCAUGUUCUCAGUCUAAGUGGGAGCUGAACAAUGAGAAAACAUGGACACAGAGAGGGGAACAUCACACACUGGGCCUGUUGGGGGGUAGGGGGCUAGGGGAGGGAUAGCAUUAGGAGAAAUACCUAAUGUAAAUGACAGGUUAAUGGGUGCAGCAAACCACCAUGGCAUGUGUAUACCUAUGUAACAAACCUGCAUGUUCUGCACAUGUAUCCCAGAACUUAAAGUAUAAAUAAAUAAAUGAAUAAAUAAAUAAAUUUUAAAAAGU
rnacentral:lncRNA from 1 species